rnacentral:lncRNA from 1 species
GUCACCCCCUUUAUUUCUGGUUCUACUUCGUUAUCAUGAAUGCCAUAUGGUUGGUGAUACCGGGCAUCCUUGUGUUUGAUGCCAUCAAGCAUCUCACAAACGCUCAGAGCAUGCUGGACAACAAAGUCAUGAAAAUUAAGAGCAAGCAUAACUAAAGAGACGGAGAGUGAGCUGAGACCUGUCUGAGGAGGCGCUCUCCCCGCUUACCAGAAGACUCGAAUCCUCCUCCUCCUCUUCCUCCUUCUCCUCGAACAGUUUUGGAGGGUCAGAGCUAUGGGAUUUGCCACACUCAAAGGGCCAGAGUCAGAAAAGGUAGGGAACAUGCGGAGCUACUGCCAGGGACCAUAGAGAAAGGGUGGAAGAGAAGAUGGGAAGUCCCUGUCCAAAACCAGGAAAUAAAACGUCUUUAACUAUAU